GAUGAACGCUGGCGGCGUGCUUAACACAUGCAAGUCGAACGAUGAAGCCCAGCUUGCUGGGUGGGUUAGUGGCGAACGGGUGAGUAACACGUGAGUAACCUGCCCUUAACUCUGGGAUAAGCCUGGGAAACUGGGUCUAAUACCGGAUAGGAGCGUCCACCGCAUGGUGGGUGUUGGAAAGAUUUAUCGGUUUUGGAUGGACUCGCGGCCUAUCAGCUUGUUGGUGAGGUAAUGGCUCACCAAGGCGACGACGGGUAGCCGGCCUGAGAGGGUGACCGGCCACACUGGGACUGAGACACGGCCCAGACUCCUACGGGAGGCAGCAGUGGGGAAUAUUGCACAAUGGGCGGAAGCCUGAUGCAGCGACGCCGCGUGAGGGAUGACGGCCUUCGGGUUGUAAACCUCUUUCAGUAGGGAAGAAGCGAAAGUGACGGUACCUGCAGAAGAAGCACCGGCUAACUACGUG
rnacentral:rRNA from 1 species